rnacentral:rRNA from 1 species
UACAGAGGUGGCAAGCGUUGUUCGGAAUUACUGGGCGUAAAGGGCGCGUAGGCGGCCUUCUAAGUCAGACGUGAAAUCCCCCGGCUUAACCUGGGAACUGCGUCUGAUACUGGGAGGCUUGAGUAUGGGAGAGGGAUGUAGAAUUCCAGGUGUAGCGGUGAAAUGUGUAGAUAUCUGGAGGAAUACCGGUGGCGAAGGCGGCAUCCUGGACCAUAACUGACGCUGAGGCGCGAAAGCUAGGGGAGCAAACGGG